AUUAGAGGAAGUAAAAGUCGUAACAAGGUCUCCGUAGGUGAACCUGCGGAGGGAUCAUUACAAGUGACCCCGGUUUACCACCGGGAUGUUCAUAACCCUUUGUUGUCCGACUCUGUUGCCUCCGGGGCGACCCUGCCUUCGGGCGGGGGCUCCGGGUGGACACUUCAAACUCUUGCGUAACUUUGCAGUCUGAGUAAACUUAAUUAAUAAAUUAAAACUUUUAACAACGGAUUCUUGGUUCUGGCAUCGAUGAAGAACGCAGCGAAAUGCGAUAAGUAAUGUGAAUUGCAGAAUUCAGUGAAUCAUCGAAUCUUUGAACGCACAUUGCGCCCCCUGGUAUUCCGGGGGGCAUGCCUGUUCGAGCGUCAUUUCACCACUCAAGCCUCGCUUGGUAUUGGCAACGCGGUCCGCCGCGUGCCUCAAAUCGACCGGCUGGGUCUUCUGUCCCCUAAGCGUUGUGGAAACUAUUCGCUAAAGGGUGCUCGGGAGGCUACGCCGUAAAACAACCCCAUUUCUAAGGUUGACCUC
rnacentral:rRNA from 1 species